rnacentral:rRNA from 1 species
GCGAAACCUCCGCAAUGCGAGCAAUCGCGACGGGGGGACCCCAAGUGCCACUCUUAACGGGGUGGCUUUUCUUAAGUGUAAAAAGCUUUUGGAAUAAGGGCUGGGCAAGACCGGUGCCAGCCGCCGCGGUAACACCGGCAGCCCGAGUGGUGGCCAUUUUUAUUGGGCCUAAAGCGUUCGUAGCCGGCCUGAUAAGUCUCUGGUGAAAUCCCACAGCUUAACUGUGGGAAUUGCUGGAGAUACUAUCAGGCUUGAGGUCGGGAGAGGUUAGAGGUACUCCCAGGGUAGGGGUGAAAUACUAGAAUCCUGGGAGGACCAACUUUGGCAAAGGCGUCUAACUGGAACGAAAGUGACGGUGAGGAACGAAAGCCAGGGGCGCGAACC